rnacentral:rRNA from 1 species
CAGUAGCCGCGGGAAUACAGAGGGUGCGAGCGUUAAUCGGAUUUACUGGGCGUAAAGCGUGCGUAGGCGGCUUCUUAAGUCGGAUGUGAAAUCCCUGAGCUUAACUUAGGAAUUGCAUUCGAUACUGGGAAGCUAGAGUAUGGGAGAGGAUGGUAGAAUUCCAGGUGUAGCGGUGAAAUGCGUAGAGAUCUGGAGGAAUACCGAUGGCGAAGGCAGCCAUCUGGCCUAAUACUGACGCUGAGGUACGAAAGCAUGGGGAGCAAACAGGAUUAGAUACCCUUGUAGUCCCUGUCUCUUAUAC